CUUAUUUGAUGUCAUGUUAUUCAUUAGCUUCAGUAUAAAUAGCCCAGUGCUGCUUCUAGUCUGUCUGGUUUUGUACCUGUAUGAUCGUGUUUUCUGUUGAAGAUGCUGUUCGUUCUAAAACCAACCUUGAGGUGUGCAGAGCGAUCGGACCUGACGGUGGGUGGCACAGUGGAUUUGUAAGGGCUGCGCGGUGCUAUUAUGAAAAAGACUGGAAAACUCAUCAAGCCAAAAGCUAUGAGGUUCUGGUUGAUCCGUGCGGAGGAAGUGGUUGGAAAUGGGUGGAGGGGGCACAAAGAAACAUGUACACAUAUGACGAAUCGAGGAGGUUUCCAGGAGUCAAAUACUACGUGUGUAGUUUGAGGAGAAAUGGCUAUGUAGGGAAGCUUUUCAACACACGGAGUGGCUUUCUGUGCCAUUUUCCACUUGGCUCAUACACCCGGGAUGGAAGUUUCUAUGCUCUGGUUACACAACCAUGUUUGUGAAGACUCUUCACCAUGAUUCACGGUUCAGUGCUUAAGUUUCUCUAGUUCCUUUGAUUGGGUGGAGGUGCUGUAUUCAUCUUUCAAAAGACAGACUGAACCUAAAUGCACAGACGGAAAAUAGUAGCCAACUCUCACAAAACAUUUAUGCAACUGGUAUAAACACAUGCUUUUUGUUACUAAUUUUAUUCGGUUACUUUUCAGCGGGAUAUUUUUAGGAUUAAAAAAGUUCUAAAUUGUAUUAGCCAUUAACAUUUGAUGAAAGUGAGCAAGUGGAGUAUAUUUCCACCUGCAGGAUAUGUUAUGUAAGUUUGCAGAAACAUUCUGUGUUCUCUGCACAGUCAAUACUAUGAACUCAAUGCCAUAAUGUCCUUUGCUGCAAUAAUGAUGUAACCAAUGAAAUAUAAAUGCUUCAAUAAACAUUACUAAAUUCACUUUUAUUGUCUUUCUUCAGUGUUACAGCUCAAAAUAAUGGUUGUGGCUGAAAU
rnacentral:lncRNA from 1 species